UAGGCAGUAGCUCAGUGGUCGAGUUCCCGCUUUUUAUGCGGGAAGAUCUGUGUUCGAUUCCCGGCUGCUUAC
rfam:Toxocara canis scaffold764, whole genome shotgun sequence.